rnacentral:rRNA from 1 species
GACGUAGGUGGCGAACGUUAUCCGGAAUUAUUGGGCGUAAAGGGUGCGUAGGCGGCAUGAUAAGUUAUUGGUGGGAAAUUGAGGCUCAACCUCGUGGAAACUAAUAAUACUGUUUUGCUUGAGUACAGGAGAGGUUAACGGAACUCCAUGUGGAGCGGUAAAAUGUGUAGAUAUAUGGAAGAACAUCAAUAACGGCGAAGGCAGUUAACUAUUCUGUUACUGACGUUGAGGCACGAAAGCGUGGGGAGCAAAACGG